CCGGUAUAGGAUGUUUAGAGGAAGUUGCAGUAAGAUAAGUGUGUCCUUUACAUACUGUAUCUUUCAGACCUUAGCAGUCUGCUGACUCCAGCUUUCAGCAGAGCAGAAACAAUGCUUUGGGAAGACUUAAAACAACUUUGAAUAAGAACCUGCUUGAGAAAGAUUUGCCUUACAAGCUAAAUGUUACAUUUCCACUCAACAGAAAGGUACUGCUGUGUGGCCGUAAAAAGCCGGCCAAAACCCUGUAACCUUUGCAGUUAGUCAUGUUAUUUUUGGUUCAUGCCAACAUGGAUCACAGCUGUGACUCAACAGAGCCACUGAAGCAAGAAUUCAAAGAGUUUAAAGAACAGCAAACUCAGAAAUGACUUUUUUUUUUCUUAUGGUGUCAUUACGCAACAUUUCUUGCAGUUUACCUUUUCUAAUUUACCAACUCCGUACAGAUGAGCUCAGUCGGUGUUUGGCAAAUGAAAACCUGAGCUGCGUCAGCACACUUCCCCAAAUCCCACUGCAGGCGGAGGGUGAUGGAGCUUUCCCUUCUGGGAUGUUUGUUUUACUGAGAAGAUGGCGGUCUGUGAACCAGGAAGCAGGUCCUUGCCAGACACCGAGGCCUCCGCUUGUGCCCUGAUCUUGGACCUCCCACCCUCCAGAACUAGACGGGGUCUCCCUGUGUUGCCCAGCCUGACUUUGAACUCCUGGGCUUAAGCUGUCCUCCCACCUCAGCCUCCUAAAGUGUUGGGAUUACAGGCCUGAGCCACCAUGCUUGGCCUGAAGAGACGAUCUUGAAAGUGGAGCAUACUAAAGUAUCUGCGCACACUAAUGAAAGUCAUUCAUCAGUGAAAGAGAGAUUGAUGAUGGUGGUGGUAGGUAAGAGAAAGAAUCUCACAGACAUACACUGUCAGCUAAUCAAAGAAGGAAAGCCGUGGGCAGUCACAAGAACAUGUGGCCAGAAUGCAUGCGGAGCAUUUUAUACUGUUUCAUGCUGCUCCUGGGAUAAGAGAGACACUUCCGUUGUGGUAACAAGAGGGAAAGGCGGAGAAGAUGGGUUUACAGAUUUGGUUUGGGAGGAUGAAGACAUUUCAUUCUAAUUGGUGGUUUUUUUCUCCUCCUUUAGGAAGCAUGAAGUGGGGUCAGAGUGAAGGGCAAGAGGAGAGCUGGGGUUGGGCAGACUGAGGCUGUCUGGAGAGAUGAUAUGGCCUUAGUGUGGAGACGAAGAGAAAGCUUGCUAGGCAGUGUCCUUGGAAAUGGGUGAGGAUGAUCUUGACACGAGUCCCCGUGCUGGGUAUUUUUCCUCAGCAGCAUUUAGCUGUGCAGUGUGUGGGGUUCAUCUAGUUUUGGAAGACUGUUGGAAGAGUUAUUGGUUGAUUCAGAUGAUUAAUAACUGAGUUGGGCAUGCUUUCCAAAAUACUUACGAUUUCUAUCAAAAUAUUCAAAGUGAAUAUGAUGUCACAAGGGGAACCCCUGAAAUCCAUGGCACUUCCACAGCACUGACACGGCCUUCCCAGCUUCUGUAUUUCUUUUGUUGGCAGCAAAGGCAGAGAUGGAGACAAAGAACUGGAAUUUAGACAUUGGAGAUUUCGUUUCUGGCUGCUACAUUCCAGUGCAGUGUUACAUAGUUCAGAAGGCUGGUAAGUAAAGUACAGUGAGUCCCAUGACCAGUUUAGAAGUGUGCCUCUCUGGAACUCACCGUCAUCUCAGAGCACAGAACUGCAGGAAGCUCACGGAGUCACUUUCAGGUCACUUCUCGGAGUUAAAGUGGAACCAUCUGUCCACCCCUUGCCCACACACCUUCCUUCCUUGACCCUGUACCCCUCCGGUUUUCUUAUCUCUUUCUUUCCUUCACAGCAGGCCUUCUACUUCUUCGGCCUCUCUUUCUUCCCUUUCCGUGAACUCUUCGGCGCCUUAAAUGCCAGCAUCUACCUCUCUGCAGCUGCACUCCCCAGGCUCUCAAAUGACCUUCUGGUGGCUAUAGCCGGUGGAAACUCUCCAACUGCCAUCUUACUUGAUUUGUCCUGUAUUAUUUCCACUGUGCUGUCUCCUGCUUAGUGAAUUCUAUGGGCUUAUUCUCUCCUUAGUUUCCC
rnacentral:lncRNA from 1 species